AAAAAAGGAAAAAAAAAGUAUCUAUCGAUUUUAAGUUUUAAGUCUUUGAGAAGCCGACUCUACAGGCUGCAGAAGUGCAAAUCCCAGCCCACAAACUUGUGAGCCAGGUCACCUGGACCAAGCGACUGAACAGGCCUGUGCUUGUUUGCCCGUGUGUAAGAGGAGGCUGACACUAACACUCACGCGGUUGUCGUGAGGAUUAAAAGAGUUCUCAUGUGUAAAGUACGCAGAUCAGGGCCUGGCCCGUGUGACUGCUCAGUAAAUGUUAGCUCUGGUUAUUAUUUUUCAUCCCACAGUUCGUGCAUUCAAAACAAAGAUGUGACGGGUGAGUGGUCAAGAUGCCCUCAAAAAGGGGCCCCCCGAGGGUCUCGGUCGCCCUCACCCACACUCACCCAGGCCACUGGGGCAGCCCCGCCCAGGCCCCACUGUGGAGUAGGGGCUCUUGCCCUGCAGAACUAAGGGUGGCCCUGGACACGGUGAGAAAAGCAUGUGCAAAGGUCCUGAGGCUCAGAUUCCCCCUCUGCUGAGAACGAGGGCUGUCUGUGAAAGGGAACCAAGGAGGGACGUCUUGGGGGACCUGUGCUGGGGGACCCUUUCCCAGCUGGAGGGCCCGUGGUCCCUUGACUGUUCCCUCCUGUCUUUCUUCCACCUCCAGGUCGCCAUCAAGAUUAUCGACAAAACCCAGCUGAACCCCAGCAGCCUGCAGAAAGUGAGGCCCUGGGAGAGGGAGCAGGGCGGGCGCCAGUUUGGGCAGAGGGUCCUCGAAACAGGCUGCCCUCAUCUUUCUCUUUGCUCCUUUCCUCCAGCUGUUCCGAGAAGUCCGCAUCAUGAAGGGCCUGAACCACCCCAACAUUGUGAAGCUCUUCGAGGUCAUCGAGACAGAGAAGACGCUGUACCUGGUGAUGGAAUACGCAAGUGCUGGUGAGGGCCCUCCCCUCCCCCUGCUCUCCGUGCACCGCCCCCGUCCCCCCCUGACCCCAUCCGCCUCCGCCCUGCAGGAGAAGUGUUUGACUACCUCGUGUCGCACGGCCGCAUGAAGGAGAAGGAAGCUCGAGCCAAGUUCCGACAGGUCAGGGUCACGGCUGCGGGGGGUGGUGGGGGGGAAGGCUGGGCGGGGCGCCCCCUGUCCCUGGGGCCGAGGGUCUGGUGGCCGGGGUGGGGCUGGGCUGUCCAC
rnacentral:lncRNA from 1 species